rnacentral:tRNA from 1 species
GCCUUCGUGGUGUAGUGGUCUGCAUGCUCGAAGCGUAACCGAAAGGUCCGUGGUUCGAUUCCCGGCGAAGGCG